CUCUUUUUGGACUCAGUCCGCCUGCACCCAGGUGAAAUAGCCAUGUUGCUCACACAAAGACUGUUUGGUGGUUUCUUCACAUGGACGCACAUGAAAUUCAGUGCCAUGACUCGGAUCGGGAGACCUCCCUUGGGAGAUCAAUCCCCUGUCCUCCUGCUCUUUGCUCCGUGAGAAAGAUCCACCUACGACCUCAGGUCCUCAGACCAACCAGCCCAAGAAACAUCUCACCAAUUUCAAAUCCGAUCUGCUUGGCUUAGCGACUGAAGAUUGAUGCUGCCUGAUCGCCUCGGAAGCCCCUAGACCAUCAUGGAUGCCGAGCUUCAGGUAACUCUCACAGUAGAAGGCAGGAAUGUCAGGCCUCUGAGCCCAAGCCAAGCCAUCGCAUCCCCUGUGACUUGCACGUAUUCGCCCAGAUGGCCUGAAGUAACUGAAGAAUCACAAAAGAAGUGAAAAUGCCCUGCCCUGCCUUAACUGAUGACAUUGUCUUGUGAAAUUCCUUCUCCUGGCUCAUCCUGGCUCAAAAGCUCCCCUACUGAGCACCUUGUGACCCCCACUCUGCCCACCAGAGAACAACCCCCCUUUGACUGUAAUUUUCCUUUAUCUACCUAAAUCCUCUAAAACAGCCCCACCCUUAUCUCCCUUCACUGACUCUCUUUUUGGACUCAGCCCGCCUGUACCCAGGUGAAAUAAACAGCCAUCUUGCUCACACAAAGCCUGUCUGGUGGUCUCUUCACACGAACGCGCAUGAAACUAUUUUUUAACUGGAUCUCUGAGCUCUGAGCAGAGGAAUUAUUUUGAGGUUAGACCAUGUGAUGCUUUUACAGUACACUUAAAAAAUUUUUUUUAACAAAGACAUUUCUAAGUGUCUAAAUUAUACCCUUCCUUAAAAACCCCAGAGUAGCCUCUGUUGCAAUAGCUGUUAAUGAAGAAAACAAAAUCCAUUCAACUGAGAGGAAAAAACUUUUGCUCAAAAAUAAGACAGGGUCUUAGGAGGACAAAAAAUAACCCCAUGAAGG